GAGGACGUUGCGUGCUCGCUCGCGCCAGGCGAGUCUCCGCGUCUCCCUCGCGAACUCGGUGAAAGGAAUUGGCGCCGUUCGACACCAGGCGGAUCCGCUCUGCAGCACGACCCCAUCUCCAGCCGCAGCCGCAGCCGCCGCCCGGGCCGAGGAGCAGCCGCAGCAGCCGCCACCAGUGGCCGAGUGAGCGGAGCCGAGUUUGAGGCAGCGCCUAGCGGUGAAUCGGGGCCCUCACCAUGAGUUCCUCGCCUGUUAAUGUAAAAAAGCUGAAGGUGUCGGAGCUGAAAGAGGAGCUCAAGAAGCGACGCCUUUCUGACAAGGGUCUCAAGGCCGAGCUCAUGGAGCGACUCCAGGCCGCGCUGGACGACGAGGAGGCCGGGGGCCGCCCCGCCAUGGAGCCCGGGAACGGCAGCCUAGACCUGGGCGGGGAUUCCGCCGGGCGCUCGGGAGCAGGCCUCGAGCAGGAGGCCGCGGUCGGCGGCGAUGAAGAGGAGGAGGAAGAGGAAGAGGAGGAGGAAGGAAUCUCCGCCCUGGACGGCGACCAGAUGGAGCUAGGAGAGGAGAACGGGGCCGCGGGGGCGGCCGACUCGGGCCCGAUGGAGGAGGAGGAGGCCGCCUCGGAAGACGAGAACGGCGACGAUCAGGGUUUCCAGGAAGGGGAAGAUGAGCUCGGGGACGAAGAGGAAGGCGCGGGCGACGAGAACGGGCACGGGGAGCAGCAGCCUCAACCGCCGGCGACGCAGCAGCAACAGACCCAACAGCAGCGCGGGGCCGCCAAGGAGGCCGCGGGGAAGAGCAGCGGCCCCACCUCGCUGUUCGCGGUGACGGUGGCGCCGCCCGGGGCGAGGCAGGGCCAGCAGCAGGCGGGAGGUAAGAAGAAGGCGGAAGGCGGCGGAGGCGGCGGUCGCCCCGGGGCUCCGGCGGCGGGGGACGGCAAAACAGAACAGAAAGGCGGAGAUAAAAAGAGGGGUGUUAAAAGACCACGAGAAGAUCAUGGCCGUGGAUAUUUUGAGUACAUUGAAGAGAACAAGUAUAGCAGAGCCAAAUCUCCUCAGCCACCUGUUGAAGAAGAAGAUGAACACUUCGAUGACACAGUGGUUUGUCUUGAUACUUAUAAUUGUGAUCUACAUUUUAAAAUAUCAAGAGAUCGUCUCAGUGCUUCUUCCCUUACAAUGGAAAGUUUCGCUUUUCUUUGGGCUGGAGGAAGAGCAUCUUAUGGUGUGUCAAAAGGCAAAGUGUGUUUUGAGAUGAAGGUUACAGAGAAGAUCCCAGUAAGGCAUUUAUAUACAAAAGAUAUUGACAUACAUGAAGUUCGUAUUGGCUGGUCACUAACUACAAGUGGAAUGUUACUUGGUGAAGAAGAAUUUUCUUACGGGUAUUCUCUAAAAGGAAUAAAAACAUGCAACUGUGAGACUGAAGAUUAUGGAGAAAAGUUUGAUGAAAAUGAUGUGAUUACAUGUUUUGCUAACUUUGAAAGUGAUGAAGUAGAACUCUCCUAUGCUAAGAAUGGACAAGAUCUUGGCAUUGCUUUCAAAAUCAGUAAGGAAGUUCUUGCUGGACGGCCACUCUUCCCGCAUGUUCUCUGCCACAACUGUGCAGUUGAAUUUAAUUUUGGUCAGAAGGAAAAGCCAUAUUUUCCAAUACCUGAAGAGUAUACUUUUAUCCAGAAUGUCCCCUUAGAGGAUCGAGUUAGAGGACCAAAGGGGCCUGAAGAGAAGAAAGAUUGUGAAGUUGUGAUGAUGAUUGGCUUGCCAGGAGCUGGAAAAACCACCUGGGUUACUAAGCAUGCAGCGGAAAAUCCAGGGAAAUACAACAUUCUUGGCACAAAUACUAUUAUGGAUAAAAUGAUGGUGGCAGGUUUUAAGAAGCAAAUGGCAGAUACGGGAAAACUGAACACACUGUUGCAGAGAGCCCCACAGUGUCUUGGGAAAUUUAUUGAGAUUGCUGCCCGAAAGAAGCGAAAUUUUAUUCUGGAUCAGACAAAUGUGUCUGCUGCUGCCCAGAGGAGAAAAAUGUGCCUGUUCGCAGGCUUCCAGCGAAAAGCUGUUGUAGUGUGCCCAAAAGAUGAAGACUAUAAGCAAAGAACACAGAAGAAAGCAGAAGUAGAGGGGAAAGACCUACCAGAACAUGCGGUCCUCAAAAUGAAAGGAAACUUUACCCUCCCAGAGGUAGCUGAGUGCUUUGAUGAAAUAACCUAUGUUGAACUUCAGAAGGAAGAAGCCCAAAAACUUUUGGAGCAAUAUAAGGAAGAAAGCAAAAAGGCUCUUCCACCAGAAAAGAAACAGAACACUGGCUCAAAGAAAAGCAAUAAAAAUAAGAGUGGCAAGAACCAGUUUAACAGAGGUGGUGGCCAUAGAGGACGUGGAGGAUUCAAUAUGCGUGGUGGAAAUUUCAGAGGAGGAGCCCCUGGGAAUCGUGGCGGAUAUAAUAGGAGGGGCAACAUGCCACAGAGAGGUGGUGGUGGCGGUGGAAGCGGUGGAAUCGGCUAUCCAUACCCUCGUGCUCCUGUGUUUCCUGGCCGUGGUAGUUACUCAAACAGAGGGAACUACAACAGAGGUGGAAUGCCCAACAGAGGGAACUACAACCAGAACUUCAGAGGACGAGGAAACAAUCGUGGCUACAAAAAUCAAUCUCAGGGCUACAACCAGUGGCAGCAGGGUCAAUUCUGGGGUCAGAAGCCAUGGAGUCAGCAUUAUCACCAAGGAUAUUAUUGAAUACCCAAAUAAAACGAACUGAUACAUAUUUCUCCAAAACCUUCACAAGAAGUCGACUGUUUUCUUUAGUAGGCUAACUUUUUAAACAUUCCACAAGAGGAAGUGCCUGCGGGUUCCUUUUUUAGAAGCUUUGUGGGUUGAUUUUUUUUCUUUUCUUUUUUGUACAUUUUUAAUUGCAGUUUAAAAGUGAAUCGUAAGAGAACCUCAGCAUUGUGCACGAUAAGAGAAUGUGUCAGUAUUUCAGGGUUCUACAUUUUAUCUGUAAAAUGUGACUUUUUUUUUUUUAUCACAACAGAAGUAAAAUGUUGCUUUGUACCUGGUGUCUUUUAUUAAGAAUUUACUCCCCCCGUUUCUCACAGAGAAUAACAGUCGGGAGUCAUUGUCACAAUAUAAUAGAAAUGUUAGCAACCAGAUUCAUGUAAGGACUAAGUGGUCCUCAUGAAUUGCAUUAAGACUCUGUACUGCUCAUAUUACACUCCAUCCUCUCUGUAGUUUGCUGGGUAGUGGAGGGGGUAAGCUAAAUCGUAGUUUCUGACAAUAACUGGGAAGGAUUUUUCUUAAAUAACAAUGGAAUUGGUAUAAUUGGGAUUGAAAACCAAAACUUGGAACUAAGAUAGAGAAGAUGGAGUGUAUGUAGAAGGGCUGUUAAAAAUGUAAACCUUGGUUGCAUUAUUUGUGGAGGCUCAAACUUGUGAAGGUUAAAUACCAUAAUUUUUCCAUUUGUUCUGCAUUUUGAUUCUGAAAAGAAAGCUGGCUUUGCCCAUUUCUUAUUAAAAAAACUUGUUGUAAAUCCAGUUGUCUAAUGGGAUCUAUAUGAAGUUAGCCAUGUCUGUAUGCCCUUCUCCCACAAAAUACUGUAUAACUAGUGUGCUUGUAGUAGUUAACUCCACCAUCUUUGUAAGCUAAUGAAAUUGUGAGUCACCCAUUUAUAUCUUAAUUUUUAAUCAUGUCAGUUCUUGAAUGGGUAUCUCCUUAGCCUGCUGAUUUCUUUUUCUUUCUAAAGAAAGUGGGUGGAGAAAUUAAUUUAGACGUUUGUUUGCAAUAAAAAGAAUUCAUUUUACUCUUGUUUUGGGAUUCUCGCCAUCAAGGUUCAAAAUCCCUUUAUAUAACUCCCAAGAGGAGAAAUAUUAAGUGUGUGCUUUCUGGACAGCUUAUUUACUCUGCAUAGAACAUUUAGGUUUUAAAAACUUAAAUGUAUACUGACAAUUGAUAUAUAAUUAUGAAGUAAAGUUGAAUUCUUCCCUUCCCCUCCCCACCAGACAACUUUUAACAUAUUUAAUGAGGGGAAAAGGUACUGGCUGGGAGAAGUUAACACUGAGUUUAUCAUCUUUACAGAAUGCUAAUGCUGUCCUCAACUGAUUAUUUUAUAUACAUAUAUGAGAUACAUGAAACUCUGGGAACAGAUGCUUUUAGAAGCCAUCAUGCAAGCCAGUCAUUGAUGUCACUACUACACAACACUGCUAACUUGACUGUAGCUCUGUAAUAACAUUAGAUCCCCUAAUUGUAAUUAUAUUGGGUUUGCACAGAACACUUUUAAUCUUCCCCUCACCCAUGUGAAGUGAGGAAUCAGGAGUCAAACUGUAGAACUAAAAUUUGACUUCAGUCUAGUGUUUCCUUGGUGUUUUUAGGUUGCUUUUGGUAAGUUUAGGUUUGCUAUAUUUCUGAUUGCUUAGAAUUUUGUUUUAGCCCUUUAAAAUCAGAUCUUAAAUAUGAAUUCAUACUUCCAAGGAAUUUUCUUGCUGUAAGCUGGAGUUUUAAGUGAUGGUGUAGGUUCAGUUGAGACAUUUUUGGAACAAAGGCUAAUCCUUAGUUAACAUAGGAUAUUUAACAGUUGAAGAUAGUGUCAUGGAUUUUUACCUUUUCUAGCAAGUAAUGCUAAGAACCACUGGCCUGAGCUACUCUUCAGUAUACCUUAUUACGAUUGCAUAGGCUUACCUAGAGGAACAGUUUCAGGUUUCGAUGCUAAUCAGCGUUGUGUCCUAAAGUUGUCCUUUGUGCCUUUAAAAAGUCUUGGAUAUACCCUGUAGUUUAAAAUUGCUUAUUAAGGAAUUCAUUUUAUAAUUGCAAUGGGAAAGUAAUGGUCAGGUAACACUAGGUAGACUAUCAUUCCUGUUUAGCCCAGAGAAUUUGGGGAGAGUAGUUAAAAAUGGUACCCAGAAAAAUGUUAAAAUUUUUAGUCAAGACUGGAAUUAAUAGAAUUAUCUACACUUGUAUGGAAGAAAUAACCUUAAAGUGUUUAAGGGAUUCAGAGAAGGGAGUGUACCAAAUAGCAAGCAACAGGGAGAAAAUUAGGUAAGUUAAGAAAUAAGAUAUGAAUGAGAAACCCGAUUUAUUGCUCAUCCUUCCCAUGCCUCCCUAAUGGCAAGCAAAAAUCUGAACAACCGAAAAGGAUGUAGUUCUGGACAAAUCCUAACUACCCAAAGGAAACUCACUGUGAGAUUGCUGUUGAUUUGAGGGGUGCUUUCACUAAGAGGUUAUAUUUGAAAAUAGAAUAACAUGCUGAGUGAAAACUGGCUUUGGAUUGGUCAGCUGCAGUAAUACAAAAACAGCAGAGAAUUUGAGAAAAGAAAACUAAAACUUAGACUGCUGUGAGAUAGAAAUGAUGUAAAUAAAAUUAUAUGGAAAGUUUUCCCUCAUAUACUCACACAUCCUUUGAAGGGCUCUGGCUUUGACCAGUUUAUGACCUUGAGCAAGAUGAAAUCAUGAAAUUGAGUCAAAUCAAUUUGACACUGAAAUGACAAGAGGAAACUCUUAAAUUUAUAAAAACAAGCCCUCAUUUGCCUAGGACAGAUCCUGUCUAUAAAAAUAAAGAUUGAACCUAGAUGUUCUGAGCACUAGCAACAAGGUAUUAAAGUUUAAAGGAAUUUUCUUUGAAAAAGUUAUGAAAUUAUUCUAGGAAACAACCAUAAUAGUAUUUUAAGGGACUUUCACCUGGGGAUUUUAUAUUCAUGAAUAGAGUGUAUUCUGUAUUUAAAAUGUCUCAUUUGUGGGAAUUGAAUGACAUGUUUUUUGAUAAAUUUAUUCACAAUAUAAAUUGACUUUCUAUUCUAGGACCAUGUAAAUAAUGGGUUCCAUUGCACAAAUAAAAAUAUUUUAAUAGCUUCUUAGGCAGUGGUGUAGACAUCUUGGAUAUAAAUAAUUGUAGACCUUGUAUAUUUGGUUUUUUAAAAACUAGCAUAAACAGUGAGAGAGGCAUAAACAUAUCUUUUAGAGCCCAAGUGGUAGUGUCUAGCAUUGGAUAUAAUAAAUGGAUGUUUUACAAAGUGUUUCCAUAAUUCUCUUCCUAUACAUAAAUAUAAAAUGUCUUGUUUUCAAAAGUGGAUGGAACUUGGCUGGGUGUGGUGGCUCACGCCUGCAGUCCUAGCACUUUGGGAGGCCAAGGUGGGAGGAUCACUUGAGCUCAGGAGUUUGAGACCAUCUUGGGCAACAUAGUGAGACCUGGUCUCUUAAAAAAAACAGUGGAUGGAACUUGUAGCAGAGAAUUUUAUCUACUUCUCAUCCUGCUUGAGAAUACUCUUUGAGAUGUUCCCUUGGAAAGAUGAACAGAAUGCUGCAUCUGAAGCGAUUUCUUCCCACCUAACACUCUUAAAAUGAUUGGAGUCUAAACUUUGUCAUUCAUUCCUAAUUCUGGAGCUCUGAGGUUGAGGGGUUCAGUUUGGUGAAUAAUUGGGUUUAAGUUUUAACAUUUUAGUAAUAGUUAAUUAAAGCCAACAUACAUACGUUAAACGCCUGACAAUACGUUGCAAUUCCUAUGCACUGGGACUCGUACCCAGCAUAAACCGUGCUUUGAGCAAGAAUUGGUCAACUACCUGAGAUCUCUAAAACAGUCAUUUGAAUUACUAAUUAUAUAAACCACAAGUCUCUUCGAAUUGUUAAUUGCCUAAAUUUACUCUAAAAUUUAGUUAACGCUGCAGUGCCUUUAUUAUUUAAAGCUUUUUUUUUUGGUGGAGGAGGGCCACAGCUACUCCGUAACUUUAAAUUUUAAAGCAUGAAGGUGGUCUGGCUAGUAUUAGCGCUUGAGUUGGUAGUUACAUAGGCUGCUCUUGAAUCAUACUGUUUUCUUUGCCUAGGAUUAGCACUACAGGUACAUAUUUGUAAAAUAAGCAUUAAAAGUACUUUGUCCAGCUAACUCAUGUUGGAGUGACCUUUGUCUUAUUAACCUUUGUUAUGAAACUUAAUUAGAAUAAGCCCUUGAGAAUUUGGAAGUGAGCUAUACUACUAAUGUAGUAUGUAUCCCUUUGGAGUAGGUGAAAAACCAGGGGUCACCUAGAGUCUAUGUUUUUGAAAUUGAACAGAAACAAUUCAUCUUAAUACUUAGUUUUCAUUAUGUUUAGCUUAAUAUGUGUGCUAGUUUAUUUGGUGUCACACUUAUGUCAAUCUCAAGUCAUGCAGAAAUAGCACAGUCUCAGGGAGGAGGUUAGGUGGGAAAUUGAUGAUACGCUUACAUUAUUGAGUAGGACUAUGCUUUCACAUCCUAACCAAUUGGCUAAAAAUAUAAAUGAUUGAAAUAAUUUUCGUUAGUUGCCACAGGAAUCUUUAAUAAUAGUUUUAAGGAAUAGUAGAUUGGAAAUAGGCAGAUGGGUUAUAUUCAUAAUGUUAACCUAGAAUUACUCAGAAAAUAUAACACCUAUGUAGUAGAAUGUGUUGAUUGUAAGCCUAGUGUUAAGCGAACAUGUUGAAGAUGGGCCAGGACAUCAGUAAUCACUACUUGGUUAGGCAAGUUAUUAGGACAGGGAUCGUAACCAUGUUGUCAGUUUGUAGUUACCUAAUUAUUGAUAAGGAAUACUUUCUUUUUCAUGCCAGGAUUCAGCAUAUACUUGCGUCUUGAGCAGGUGCUUUGCUUUUAAAGCUGAAUCCUGGGCAUAAAAAGCUAUAUACUGUAGUCGGAAGUGUGAAGUAAAUGUCAGUGUAGGUUAGUCUCUAGAGAAAUGUCUUCUAUAGAGAUUCAGGGUUUUUUUGCACCGUUAUGGUCACCAUACUGUGCCAAUGACAUCGUUACUCACGAGCAUGUCCAGUAUGUCUAUGUUAUUGAAAAAUAAUGCAGAUGUUACAGGCUGGAGAGUUAGCAUCUGACAGAAGUGCUGCACCAUUGUGGCGUGUUCUUCCUCCUAGUUAACAGUUCCAUUCUGAACCUUACAGGAAGUCAAAUGAGUUAUGUCUAGUAAAAUAUAUGUUGCAAACACUUAAAGCAUUGCCACAAAUUGGUGUCAGCCGAGACAUUUAAAAAAAUUUUAAAACAGCAAGAAUAGAUGUGGCUGGUAUAGACACCAGUUUAUAAGUGUGACAUUAAUGCUACAAAAGUUAAAGCAUAUAUGGAGGUGAGAUAACAUUAAUACCUAAAGAGUUAUUGGCUUAUUUAAAUGUCAACUAACAAAAGGAAUUUUUUGAGGCAACUUGUAUCCUGUAUCUCAGUUGUAUGUAGUUAAAGAUUGGGAGAAUCAUGGACAAGUACAAGAAUAAAAGAUUCCAACGUAACUUUUUUUUUCUUGAAAAGUAAAGCAAACAAAUGUGCUGAUUUACAUUUCAUCUCCUUUUCCUUAGUCUGUCCAUGUGAAUGUGCUGUGUGGAAGAGUUAAAGGGUCCAACUAAAUGUUCCAGUGAUUCCAAUAGCUAUUUAGCUGGUACCUACUGCUAUAUCACCUAGUGUGACAUUUCGGAAUUAAUGGAACAAUGAAAGAAGCUGUACGCUGGAGAUGCCAGGUGCUCAUGGAAGGUUUCCAGUUUAUGCAAACUUCUGUGAAAAUGAGCUAACCUUGUUAUUGGUGAAGACAUUGGAAAUUUUACCAGCCAAGAGAGAGCUUCUCUCUUACUCAGGGUAAGAUGUAAUUGCAGUGUGCUAGUGCUGGAAGGGACCUGUUUUACACGUUAUGUAUGUUACACGUCAGCCCUCCACGUCCUUCAGUUCUGCAUCCUUGGAUUCAACCAACCGUGGGUUGAAAAUACUGGAGGUAAAGACAAAAAAUAACAAUGAAACAACAACAACAACAAAAAAAGGAAAAUAAUAACUAUAUUUACAGGGCAUUUAUUUUAUAUUAGGCAUUGUAAGUAAUUAGAGAUGACUGAAAGUAUAUGGGAAAAUGUAUGUAGAUUAUAUGCAAAUAUGAGGGCAUUUUAUUUCAAGGGACUUGGGCCUGUGGAUACCAAGGGAUAACUGAGCAUAAGUGGCCUGUCCACAGUUAUCAGAUUAUUGAUAAUCUGAUAUUUCCCACAUACAUGCAGUGCUGCCUCUAAAAACAUGGUUGAAUAUCCUAUGGAUUUUUUUUUUUUUUUAAAUUCGAGAGGGAGUCUCUGUCACCUAGGCUAGAGUGCAGUGGCGCAAUCUCGGCUCACAGCAACCUCCGCCCGCCCCACCUUGGGUUCAAGUGAUUCUCCUGCCUCAGCCUCCUGAGUACCUGGGACCACAGGCGUGCACCACCAUGCCUGGCUAAUUUUUGUAUUUUUAGAUGAGACAGGGUUUCACCAUGUUGGCCAGGCUGGUCUUGAACUCCUGACCUCAGGUGAUCUGCCUGCCUCAGCCUCCCGAAGUGCUGGGAUUACAGGUGUGAGCCACCGCGCCCGGCAGAAUUUUUUAACAAUUAUUUGGUUAUAACUAAUUUGGAUAAUGUAGACUGCAUGCAGCUUUGAUUUGUGCCACUAAGAGUGGGCAAACUGUCUUACUUUUUGUGAAUCAGUAAAAAUUUUCCCUCAACAUGUGUUUGACAGUGUCAUUCACUGCUAAGUUAAGGCAUUUGGUAAACCACACAGCCUCUGCAUCAUAACCUUCCUAGCGACAGCCACAAGAAAAGGUGGGCAUGGGAGGGAAAAUGUUCUUGUGAAUAGAACUGGAGCAAGCUCCAUUUUUCUUUAGAAAAAGAUGUAGAUCAAAAUAAUAUUUUCUUCUUUGCUAUUUCUGUGCCUUCCAUGGUAUAUCAAAAUAAUAGGACCAGAAAUGGCCACAAUCUUGUUGACUGCUGGUGUCUUCCCCCCAGUAUUUCUUUAAGCAUUUCCUAAGCAUCUAGCUUGUGUUUUGUUAUAUUUAAUAGAUUUUCUUAAAGUAAUUGUAUAGAUUAAAACCAGGAAUAACUUAAUUUUCCUAGAAAGGGAGAAUUUCUCCAGAGAAUAAAUCCUGAGGAUUUAGUUAGAUGCUGUGGGUGUUCUUGUAUUUUAAAUAUUUUAAUGGGAGCAGCUGAUUGACUUUCAAAUGGAUUGUUUACAUUAAUAGUAAUACUGCAAUUAUUUUUCUAUUGCAUCAGUCUGCCAAACAAGUUCCAUGUGCAUAUUUAAAUUCAAAACUAAUUAUACUUAAAAAUUUAAACCCUGCAUACUUUCCCAAAAAUGUUUAGGGCAGUUAAAAACAACUCUUUUGGAAGAUGACUCACAUUUUAAGAAAUGAGAGAAUACUUUCAAAUGAUGAAUGCAUUUAAAAAAUAAUUUGCAAAGUGAUAAAGUCCCUUCGUUUUAAAUCUUUUAAGAAGUCAGUAAGUAGUUGCUGCUUUUUAAUGGGAUACUAAUAAGGUUGAGGUUUUUGUUAAGGGAAGUUUACUUAUCAUUAAACUCUAUACUUACUACUACAAGGAAACUCUUUCCAAGUACAUUAAAACACUAGGUUUUAUAAUUCUUUCACAUUUUAAGUAUGACAGGUCCACUAUAUGUAACAUGUAAGAAUGCUAUCCUGGCAGUAGACAUAGCGCCAGAAUAAACUGGCAAGUUUUCAUUCCAGACAAGUGGGGGAAAAAAUGACUACAACUUAAUUUAUUUGAUUGAGAGCUUAUUGCACAUGAAAUGUUUUGUGUGGUUGAUCUUAAUUAACUUCGUUCACAUCGACUUUUCUAUGCUCAAGAUUGUUCAAUUGCUGCUGUUGCUGUUGUGUUUUCUUUCAGGAUCGAGGUGGGUACCUUCAUAUAAUAUCUUCUUUUUAAUUUCUUCUCUGGCAAUUCUUUGCCGGAUUCUUUGCUUUGCAUAAUUAUACCUACAAUGAAACCUUGGAAGAAAAGAAUAUGAAUAAAUUGUUAAUAUAAAGUCCUACAGAAAUUAAUUUAUGAAAUUCUCUAUAAAUCACACAGAACAUAAAUACUUACAGAUGACUACCCUGAGACUGAAAAAUAUGAAUAUUCUAAUUUAUAGUGCUAUUUUUGGGCAGUUUUGGUGUCAGAAUACUAUCAACACAUUCUUUUUUAUUAGGAAAGAAAAGGAUGUCUACAUAACAAUUUGUAAAGUGAUAAAAUCCAUUAGUUUUAAGUCUUCUGAUAGCAUUGGUUAUUAUAAGAAACUAGUAUUUGCUCUCAUUAUUAACAGGAUAAUAAUGCUAUGUCUACAUAAAAUUAUUUCUAUCACCUUAAAUAGUUCACUGCAGAAAUUCAUGUAUAAAUGGAACCAUAUAGUGCGUACAUAUCGUACUCUUAGGUCUGGCAAAUACUUGAGGCUCAUCCGUAUUUUCACUCAUCAGUGGUUAUAAACACAUUCUUAAAGUAGCAUUUUCAGAUAUGAGUAAGCAGGGAUGAAGUAAGUAUUAGGGUAAGGGAAAUGGCUGAGGCUUUCCUAAGUGAAGUGUAAAAACCACAGCUUUCUUUUUAAUGGAAUAUCUAAUACGCAUUUAUGUGUUCAAGCAUUUUAAGACAGAUUUCCAUGAAAAUGUCCUUAAAAGUCAAGAUUCUUCAUUGAGGGUGAGUAUCUCACAAUGGGAGAUUCCUCUGAAAAAACGUGCUUUUUGAGUUAGAUAACCUAUUAUGAAUACUUAGCAAACAUACCAGCAUCCCAAAGUCACCAAGAUAAACCCUCCUACUCCAACAUCACAUGAUCUUUUAAUUCUGCCUGUCAAAAAUAAGCAGAACGGUCAAUUAGAACAUAAAUGCCUGUUGUAAUUGCCUGUUAUAUACAUUACUCCAUCUAGAAAAAAAACUUUCAUCACAUAGAGAAAUGCUUUUUUUAGUACAUAGAGAAAUAAACACAGAUACUCACUAGUGAACAAAAAAUGUCCAAAGCCAGCCACAACAGAUCCUAAUGAACCAUACAAUAUUGAAUCCCGGGCGCAGGGAAUAUUUUGAACAUCUAAAAAUCCUCGGAGCUUAAAGGCCUAGAAUGAAAAAAAAAAACCUAGAUUGAGUAAGAAAGUAUUUCAUUUUGGGGUGGUUUGGCAAAAA